GUGCCCCCAUGAUGUCCAGCACUGGGCUCUGACCACGCCUGAAGACACAGUGCCCCCCUGGGACCUUUGACACCCGGGGGCCUGAGGGGCCC